UCCUAUAGAAACUGUGAACGCCAGAUAGCAUCAGGAAGACCAGAUAAGACACAACACCAAAGCCUAACCAAUCGCAACACCGACAAGGAAGGCAAAAGGCUUCACCCGAUACCAAGGAAUCAUGAACCACUAGAGCCAAGUCACACCAUAGCAGACGGAGAUAAAGAGACAGGCUAGGAACAAGGAGAAAACCUUGUGAUUCGGCUUGAGACAAGUCAAAGAAGACCAACAGCUCUUACACGCGGACACUCGUCGACCCAGUUUCAGCCAUCUACCAACAAAAAACUGGUAACCUCCUCGCAAGAGAAGAACAUGUGAUCGUUCCACUGUGACGCCUGUAGCCCAACUUCAAACCUCAAAGAAGCUAGAAAGGAGCUUGUAGAUGACGCUGCAACGAAACACCAUCCAAAAGACAAGCACAACCCGUAACCUAGCCAAAAACAAAACCACCAAACGCCCAAGAGGACCCAGCAAAGCAGAAGAGCAAAGGACAUAAAGGCAAUUCCAUAACCAGAGAGAAACUGACUUGCGCAAAACACAAACCAAGAAGGAUCUCUGAGCUUAGCUAAUUCAAUUGGUUAAACGCAACAAAACAAACCUAAAACUAGGAAAAUUAACACAAACGAGCCAAGACUUAGCAAAACCAAGGACAAACUAUGAGCAGAGACUAAAUUACCCAACCAAAGGCAACCUAAUAUUAGCCUAAGACAGAAUCGAGACUACAUAGCUUCCACUAGAUCAGGUAUGUAUAAGAUGAAGAAACCAAACCUCCAUCUCCAAAAACAACUGCCGUAACAGUGAAGAACCACACGGGCUCCGACAAAAACACCAACCACCCACGGAGAACCAAGCGACACCAUCACUAGAACGGAACCAACCUUCCAAUCGAAGCACAACCAUCUAGAAUCUCGUCUUUAAUCCGCCAUAGGAGGAGCCAGAGAAGACCCAAAACAAAGGAAAAGCAAAUAAAAGACAAACAGACACACCCUCUCUGACUCCGGCCAAGGGCACCAGAUAAUCAGAAAGGUAACGUCAGAAAUUUGAGAAGAAAAGUUUGGUGGUGGCUAGACCUAAAAAAAUCGCCUCUCAAAGGCCGUAGAGCCAAACCUUUUUAUGUUAUAGAAAACUUUUUUGCGUUACAUUGAUAUUAAAAUUCUUCUAAACGAAAC
rnacentral:lncRNA from 1 species